CCACUUGCUCAGGCUACCUCCUACGCCGACCCUUCAGUUGCUCGCCCUCCUCCUACCCCACCCCCACCGGCAUCCAGCGCCUGGCGGAUGGCACCCUCGCCCCUACCGGCAUCUAGCGCCUGCCGGACGGCGGACGGCACCCACGCCGUUCGGGCUAACUGCCGGCCGCCGUCUCGCCUUCGUCGGGCUAACUGCCGGCCACGGCCUCGACCUCCAGCGCCUGCCGGAUGGCAACCACGCCCUUGCCUCCGCCGGGCCGACUGCCGACCGCCAGCCGCGGCCUCCCUCCAAACCCGCACCCCUUUUCCAACCCCGGCACCCAGCCCCCAAACAAUUGAUGCAAUUACUUUUGCGAUUCUUCUAUUCUUCCUCCGUUCUGUCGAUAUUCUCUUCUUCCUCUGUGCUGCCGCCGCGACUCCCAGCUUGCUGCUCCCACGAGUGUUCUACUAUUGGCUGCUGUGCUGGCUUGGUCUUCAUUUCCGCUUACAGAUCCCCCUCCGUUUCGUCAGCCUCUAGCAGGGACAUAUUCCUUCCCUUAUUCCUUUUUGUUCAGUCUCUUUGAAUCCUGCCUUCUCGAUACAUUAAAUUGCUAAUGUUCUUCUUUAUUUGCUUUGAUGCUUCUUAAAUAUUUGCUGAAAUGUUUAGCUAGCAUAUCCAACAUUUUCCAAUUUGGUUUAGGUUAUUACUGAUGUAUAAACCAUUCUAUUCUAAUUUAGUUUACUCUUCCAUUCUAGAUCUCAUUUUGGGACAGGUGCGCUACCUCUUCCUGAUCCUGGAUACGCAAGCCUCAGACGAUCCUCAGACAUGAGCUCAAUGACAAAGCUUGCAGACAUUACUUCAGGGCAGCAAAACUGCAAGGUCUUAGCCCGCAUUACAAGACUAUGGGAUUCUAAAAAUAUGAAUUCUAGAGCUGCGGAUCCCCUCAUUAGCAUUGAUGGUGUCAUCCUUGACGAAGAUGGAAAAAUGGCUCACAUUAGUGUCCCCAAAAAACUUGAAAAACAGUUUCGACCUUCACUCACUCAAGGAUCUGUCUAUAUGUUUGCAAACCCCAUUGCUGUUGAUACAAAACAAAAGGCAUAUAUAUAUCACCAUCAGGACUACAUGCUCCAGUUCCAACACACCUCGACGGUUAAUCGUCUUCAAACACGAGGAGGAACCAUCCCCAGAUUUGCAUUCAAUUUAUGCCCAUUUGAUCAACUUGCAUCAAAAAACAUCCGCUCAAAACCC